GACGAACGCUGGCGGCGUGCUUAACACAUGCAAGUCGAACGGAAAGGCCCUGCUUUUGUGGGGUGCUCGAGUGGCGAACGGGUGAGGAACACGUGAGUAACCUGCCCUUGACUUUGGGAUAACUUCAGGAAACUGGGGCUAAUACCGGAUAGGAGCUCCUGCUGCAUGGUGGGGGUGGGAAAGUUUCGGCGGGUGGGGAUGGACUCGCGGCUUAUCAGCUUGUUGGUGGGGUAGUGGCUUACCCAGGCUUUGACGGGUAGCCGGCCUGAGAGGGUGACCGGCGACAUUGGGACUGCGGUACGGCGCAGACUCCUACGGGAGGCAGUAGUGGGGAAUAUUGCACAAUGGGCGGAAGCCUGAUGCAGCAACGCCGCGUGCGGGAUGACGGCCUUCGGGGUGUAAAACGCUUUCGCCUGUGACGAAGCGUGAGUGACGGUAAUGGGUAAAGAAGCACCGGCUAACUACGUG
rnacentral:rRNA from 1 species